rnacentral:rRNA from 1 species
UUGAACGCUGGCGGCAUGCCUUACACAUGCAAGUCGAACGGUAACGGGCCUUCGGGUGCCGACGAGUGGCGAACGGGUGAGUAAUACAUCGGAACGUGCCCGAUCGUGGGGGAUAACGAGGCGAAAGCUUUGCUAAUACCGCAUACGAUCUACGGAUGAAAGCAGGGGACCGCAAGGCCUUGCGCGGACGGAGCGGCCGAUGGCAGAUUAGGUAGUUGGUGGGAUAAAAGCUUGCCAAGCCGACGAUCUGUAGCUGGUCUGAGAGGAUGAUCAGCCACACUGGGACUGAGACACGGCCCAGACUCCUACGGGAGGCAGCAGUGGGGAAUUUUGGACAAUGGGCGCAAGCCUGAUCCAGCCAUGCCGCGUGCAGGAUGAAGGCCUUCGGGUUGUAAACUGCUUUUGUACGGAACGAAAAGCCUUCUUUUAAUACAGGAGGGUCAUGACGGUACCGUAAGAAUAAGCACCGGCUAACUACGUG